UGCAAAAUUAUGCCCAAAAAUUUCACACUGCACAUGUCAAGCAAUUAAAUUUAAAUUGUUUUCCUAUUUGCAUUAUUAGAUAAUUAAAAAAAGUUUAUUAAAGAGCCAUAACGAUAGCAAAGUGUUAAAGAGGAAGUUUAUAAUUUAGCAGGAUGUCCAAGGUCCAACAGGCUGUCACGAAAUGUCAGUCGGCGUGUCCUGCUGCACCAAAGAACAACACAUGUCAACGCUGAUGCGAAAAUUGUCAAGGGCGAUUCUUUUGUUAACCAACUGGGUGAUGCCGUAUAAAUUUAACUCCCAGCAGUCCGCUUUGAAUGACGUCUCACGAAAACCGCACUUAUAGCCUCGGUCGGCUUAUACAUAUUGGUCUUUUGUGAGCAAACGUCCGGUUGCAGGAUAACGGACGAUGGACGAUGGACAAUGGACGGCAAUGUAUCAGCAACAACAACAAUAACAACUGUUGGCAUAACGAAUGUUGUGAACAGAGUUAAAUUUUUAAUUUACAUGAUUCUUGAAAAGAGAC